CUCUCUCUAGCUUUGUUUGUGAAAUGGGUUAGUUUUUUUAAUUUUUUUAAUUAUUUUAACACGGGUCUAAAAAGUCUAAUUUGAGAAGGGCGUUUAGCCUUUUUGAUUUUUUUAUAAAGAAAAAAUAUAAUAAUUAUGAAUUAAAUGUGAUGUUUUGUCUUAUUAAAUUAAAAAAUCUAUUUUAUAUUUUUUAGAUUAUUUUAACUCAAAAAUCCUCAAAACCAACUUGCCAAACGGAGCUCUCUCUGUCUCUCCACCUUCCUCACAAACCCUCACUCUCUUCAUAUCUCCACCAUGAGUUUGUGAGCAGCGACCACUUCAUCUCCCUCCUCACAACUACCGUCGCAACAUAGUAGUAAGGCUUCGGCGAUUGAGACUUCAGAUCGAGGUCGACGAUGAAGUGAUGAUGGGCCGAGAACGGAUUGAGGCCACAAAUCCAGUGGGUAAAAAAUUGCUUGGAGAGAUACAAAAUAUGGUCAUAGAAUUCAAGAACUUUGUAUUUCAAGUUUUUUUAUUUUUUAAUAUAUGUAAUCACAGUUAAAAACUUUUUAUUGAUUCUUUUGUAUAUACUUUUGAACAUUUAACUUUUAUUUAUGAAAUAUGUGACGUUAUUCUAUUCAA